ensembl:lncRNA
UGUGGCAUGCUGUGAGAUAAGAGGGUCAACACACAUUCAUCUAAAAGGAGAUUAAUAAAAGAAGAAGAAAAGAGUGGAAGACAGGAAACGCAAAUGUCUUAAUAAGUGGCAAGCUGCUACAAAACUACUUUAGACCGAGGACCUACUGGACCUAUUUUGGUAGCAGCUUGCCAUACAAUACUGUUUAUUCAUCUGUACAGAAACUCCAUGUGGUGUGUCAGAAGCUCAGAAAAAACUGGAGAGAAAAAGCCCCCUCCCCAAAAACAUAAUACCAGUGUUACCAGUUGACGUUAUUCUUCAAUAACACAAACCCCAAUGCAAAUCAGGGGGUGGAAAACAGGUUUAUUCAAAAGAGGAUAAAUCAUAGAUGUUACGCUGAGAGGUAGAUGGUCGUUCCUUCCUUGUCCUCAGUGAUUCUCUCCAUCGAACGGUUCCUUCCCUGUCCUCAGUGAUUCUCUCCACCGAACGGUUCCUUCCCUGUCCUCAGUGAUUCUCUCCAUCGAACGGUUCCUUCCUUGUCCUCAGUGAUUCUCUCCAUCGAACGGUUCCUUCCCUGUCCUCAGUGAUUCUCUCCAUCGAACAGUUCCUUCCCUGUCCUCAGUGAUUCUCUACACAGAACAAAGGGACAGCGUGUAGUUUUUUAACCCAGCCCUAGCCUGCGGUUGACCAAUUAGAAUUCCUUGCAAUAAAACUGAGCCAGUGGCCAAAUAACAAUGUAUCCUAUUUCAGACUCAAUAUAUAGACAAAUUCCUCCCAUGUCUCUGCAUUAAUCCCCUAUUUCCAUUGAUCGCUAGUACUCCAUCAACUUUUAGUCCUCUGUCUCUGCGUUGUGUAUUUAUCUUCCAAAUAUUCUUAUACACUAGACACAAUCCAUAUUGACAGGUCAAACAUUUAUAAAUUAAUAAAAAAUAAAUAAAAAAAACAUGCCCUUUUAUACUUUAUUUUUAAACUUUUAAUUAUAUAAAAAUAUUUAUUACAACAUUCUUCAUUUUGCGUGUAAUUCAUUCAAUCCAGUUGAUUAAUUCAUAGGCGUCUGUAUUUAUAAAGACCCAUUUGGUUGGUUUCUACAUUAUUUAAUGCAUGUUUGCAUAGAUUCCAGGAGACUUAAUAACAUCUCUGGGCAAGUCUAUCCUUCCUUUCACAACGCAGAAGCAAAAGUAGGAAAGAAGAGAUGACAUGACAUAAAACCUAAAACGUGAUAAGGCGAGAUUUUUGUCAAUUCAUUUUCUCUACUUCCUCAGAGUCAGAUGAGAUAACGGAUACCAUUUGCAUGUCUCUGCAUUCAGCACGAAGGAAGUUAACCUUUUUAAUUCAAAUGCUAUUUACAUGCUUCUGACUCUGGGUAAGUUGAUAAAGGGCUCAAUUGCCCCCCCCCCCAAAAAAAAAUCUCGCAAUAUCCCUUUAAAUCAAAAUGAUAACACGACAACCAUAACUCCUUAAACAUCAUAUGAUUAUUGAUUACAUGAUCAGUUCAUGAUGUCACAGAGAUGGAACAGUUGCCACAUGGUGUAAACAUGACAAACAGUUAACAUACCAGGAACUCAUGACAAUAAUAUUGGAGAUCUUAUUAAAAGCUGGACGCUGGGAGAGACAUACGGAGUGGCAAAACAAUUAUUUUGCUGUCAGUUCCAGAGAGAUGGCUGUAAAGGGGGGAAAAGAGGUGCUGAGGAAGACGACUGCUGAAGAAGACGACUUCUACCCCUCUCUCUCUCUCUCUCUCUCACACACGCACGUGAAGAGUUGAACACACUCACAAAACAUCAAACAAUCAAUACAAUUUGAAACGGUUGCUUGAAUGUCUUAGCGUUUUCAUUUGUAAAAGUUUACCAUGGUAACCCCACCAGAUCCAGCCAUUGACUGUACCCCUCAGCUCUGAGUCAGUCAGUCAGUCCAUCCACCAAUCAGUCAGUCAGUCAAUCCACCAAUCAGUCAGUCAGUCAGUCAGUCAGUCAGUCAGUCAGUCAGUCAGUCAAUCCACCAAUCAGUCAGUCAGUCAGUCCAUCCACCAAUCAGUCAGUCAGUCAAUCCACCAAUCAGUCAGUCAAUCAAUCCACCAGUCAGUCAGUCUAUCCACCAAUCAGUCAGUCAGUCAAUCCACCAGUCAGUCAGUCCAUCCACCAGUCAGUCAGUCAAUCAAAUCAACUGAAGAUAGUUUAGUGUUUGUAUAUGUAUCAGUAUACCUACUUUGCAUUUCAUAACGUAUGAUUGCUUAUGGUAGAUUUGCAUGGCUUGUGGAUUGGAUUGGUUGUUUCAACACAACAGUCCAACUGUUUCAACUUUUUUUUUUUAAAUACCAGCUUUUUUUCCCUCCCUUCCCCUCCACAGAAAGUGAUUCAUACAAGUGAGUCUUCAUGUAAAAAUGUAUUAAUUUUCUGCAUUAAAAACAAUCAAUCAGACAAAGAUGAAUGGACUGAUUAAAUGAAUCAUUACAUCGUUAAUUGGGUGUUAAUACAGAACAUGUUGUACGGCUGUAAAAUGGGACCUGCUUUACAACUGCCUUUUGUGACUAAUCAAGAACAUGUAUAAAACAUUUUUUAUUUUUUUAAAUUAACAGUCAGAAGUGAAGACAGAAAGAAAGAACAUUUAAAAAAAGGUCAAAUUAAAGGGGAUCCUGGGAUAUCCCAGACAUCUCAGGGGCAAAUAUCUGACCCGUGUAGGUCUUCCUAGAGACACUGGACGUGGUUGAAGCUGUGAGGGGUGACUUGAAGAAUAUAUAUGUUAUUCAUUUGGCAUAUCCAUUUCAGUUCCGAUAUAGAUUUCCUAACACAACGGCAAAAAACAUUGUUGUUUCACUCAUCGACCAGGGAUGAGUAUGGAAAGUAUGUGUAAAGCCAAUGACAAUAGAGGCUGGGUUAGAGAUGGACUUUCACGUACGUACACACACACACACGCUUAAAACAACUGCAACAGUUAUUUUUUAAUAAAAACUGAAAUUAAAGUGAUUAAAGUGUCUUGGCAAAACAGCUAGCUAGCUUCUCAACGCUCAACAUGACACAUACUAAUGAAUAUGUGAUCUACUGCAACACUGACGCGGUCAACGUUUAUAAUAAAUAUGUCAGGGACCAUCAACCAGAUUCAGUCGCGGGACGAUUAUUUCUUGAGCGGAAAUAAUCGUUUUGUUUUUAGAAAAACAUUUUGCUCUGAAAACUUUGGGGGGAACCGGGCUGUCAGUUGGGGAACCCUGAAAUAUGUGAUCCACUGCAACAGACGAGGUCAAAGGUCAAAGUUCCUACACACUAGGUUUCCCUUCUUUACUCAGACACAAAAAGUAAUGAGUUAUCUCUAUAUAUCAUUUCUGUAUAUUAUCUCUGUAUACGAACUAAUAUGCAAAGUUUAGUAUCAGGGUUUAAUACAGGCUAGAUCCAAGGUUAUCAGUGCUUGUUGGGUCUAGUGUUCUAUAUUCCAAGGGAUGGGGACUAUUUCUCUCAGGGGUUUUAAGAGACAAAACUGGUUGAUUAUUUUAGACUUGAGCGUGUCUCACGCACACAACAACAGAUUUUGAUGGACGGGAAUAUCCGAUUAGUUCACGCAAACAAGAAGUGACUGUGAUAAACACAUUAAACCAAUAUCUCCUGUCCUGAGGCAAACCAUCUAACCCAACAGAGUUCGGAAAGGAGGUUGAAUGUAACAAGCACUGUUUUCUCCCAGUUUCUCAAGACUACUCUGAGGGCAUACGAUCAAGCAGGAUCAUUGAGUAAGCCAGCUAAAUUUGCUUAACUUUUCUGAAAUAACUUUCAUAAUUUUAUUGUUUGUUUUUUUUUUAGAAAGAAAAGCUUGACAAGGAUUCAACAAACUCCUAACUCUAAUUGCUAGGGGGCUGGCCCACAUGGGGGAAAACGGCACAGAACAGCUUCUACCUCUGAGGGUUUAGAGUUUAAGGUAGUCACCUCAUACAAGUAGUUGGGAGUAUGGCUAGAUGGUACACUGUCCUUCUCUCAGCACAUAUCAAAGCCGCAGGCUAAAGUUAAAUCUAGACUUGGUUUCCUCUAUCGUAAUCGCUCCUCUCACCCCAGCUGCCAAACUAAUCCUGAUUCAGAUUACAAUCCUAGCCAUGCUAGAUUACAGAGACAAAAUGUAUAGAUCGGCAGGUAAGGGUGCUCUCGAGAGGCUAGAUGUUCUUUACCAUUCGGCCAUCAGAUUUGCCACCAAUGCUCCUUAUAGGACACAUCACUGCACACUAUACUCCUCUGUAAACUGGUCAUCUCUGUAUAGCCGUCACAAGACCCACUGGUUGAUGCUUAUUUAUAAAUAUUUAUAUCCCUGGGUCGCUCCUCUUUUCAGUUCGCUGCAGCUAGCGACUGGAACGAGCUGCAACAAACACCCAAACUGGACAGUUUUAUCACAAUCUCUUCAUUCAAAGACUCAAUCAUGGACACUCUUACUGAUAGUUGUGGCUGCUUCACGUGAUAUAUUUUUGUCUCUACCUUCUUGCCUUUGUGUCGUUGUCUGUGCCCAAUAAUGUUUGUCCAUGUUGUGCUCCUACCAUGUCGUGUUGUUGUCAUGCUGUGUUGUCAUGUGUUGCUGCCAUGUCGUGUUGCUGCCAUCCUGUGUUGUCAUGUGUUGCUACCAUGCUGUGUUGUCAUGUGUUGCUACCAUGCUGUGUUGUCAUGUGUUGCUGCCAUGCUGUGUUGCUGUGUUGCUGCCAUGCUGUGUUGUCAUGUGUUGGUGUUACCAUGCUGUGUUGUCAUGUGUUGGUGUUACCAUGCUGUGUUGCUGCCUUGCUCUGUUGUUGUCUUAGGUCUCUCUUUAUCGAGUGUUGAGUUGUCUCUCUUGUCGUGAUGUGUGUUUUGUCCUAUAUUUUUAAUCGCCCAUCCACGUUGGAGGCCUUUCGCCUUUUGGUAGGCCGUCAUUGUAAAUAAGAAUUUGUUCUUAACUGAUUUGCCUAGUUAAAUAAAGGCGAAAUAAAAUAAUUCCAUAAAAACAGUCGCUUUCUGUGACUAAUUGAGGUAAAAUAGUAAUUCUGCAUGUCAGCAGUACACAAUGACACAUCCAGCCCAGAGUAGGAGUUAAGAAAUAUUUGGUCACCUAAAUUCCAGAGCACGUCUUCAAUGAGGAAGAAAAUCUCUAGUUAUUUCUGGUUGUUUAUUGAAGUUAGCUGGCUAACUCAUUGAUCCUUCUGCGUAUUAUAGUGCUCUGACGAGCCUUUCCUACCUCAGUCCCACAACACAACUUUAAACCUUCUGAGCAGAGACACCUUUCCCAUGGCAACACCAGAACAGAAACACACUUUUCCCAUGGCAACACCAGAACAGAAACACAGUUUUCCCAUGGCAACACCAGAACAGAAACACACCUUUCCCAUGGCAACACCAGAACAGAAACACACCUUUCCCAUGGCAACACCAGAACAGAAACACACUUUUCCCAUGGCAACACCAGAACAGAAACACACUUUUCCCAUGGCAACACCAGAACAGAAACACACCUUUCCCAUGGCAACACCAGAACAGAAACACACUUUUCCCAUGGCAACACCAGAACAGAAACACACCUUUCCC